GAUCCAGGUUCGAGCCGAUCAACGUAGAUAAACUGACCCAACUGCAACUUAUUGCUGAGAACGACGUCGUCUUGAUCCGAAGGGAGAGAGACGUAGAUCGAGUGAGAGGAAUCAGAGAUUUUGAUGAGAAACCCUUGUUUCGGCUCCAGAGACUUCUCGUCGAGAUCAAUGGGAACGAUAUCUGUGACCUGUAACAUAGAGCUUCGGUGCUCUCUAGUUGGUUUAAUUCCUGUUUUCAUACCUUGGAUUAGCUUUUGAAGAAUUCCAGGUGCCAAAGCUGCCAUUUUUGUUGAGCUUUU